UACGUAGGUGGCAAGCGUUGUCCGGAAUUAUUGGGCGUAAAGCGCGCGCAGGCGGUUCCUUAAGUCUGAUGUGAAAGCCCCCGGCUCAACCGGGGAGGGUCAUUGGAGACUGGGGAACUUGAGUACUGAAGAGGAAAGCGGAAUUCCACGUGUAGCGGUGAAAUGCGUAGAGAUGUGGAGGAACACCAGUGGCGAAGGCGGCUUUCUGGUCAGUAACUGACGCUGAGGCGCGAAAGCGUGGGGAGCAAACAGG
rnacentral:rRNA from 1 species